rnacentral:lncRNA from 1 species
CCAAAUACUAUAGGAUUGCAACAAGCGUGAAUAGCCUUGCAAAAACAAAACAAAAUUUACAUCAUGUUCGCUCAGAAACAGAGGCAGGGAACUAUUCGAGUCAGAAAAUGAAAAUUUUAGGGUUCUUUACAAAUCAGAAAUUCUUAAAUUCAGGUAUAUAAAAUUCCCUAUUGUCAAUUAUCAUACAGUGGUAAUAGGUAAGAAUUGAAUAGCUAAUCCCAUUCAUCCUCUAUAUCAUUAAUAAAUUUUAUAUUUAGGUAUCGUACUUUAAAAUUGAUUAAAAUGCACAGGUUGUUGUAUAAUCAAUUGUUUGACUGGUGUCAAUUGGACUGUGUCUACGUAUUAGCUCGAGAUGUUUUGAGGUGAGUUGAUAUAACCCUUUACCAAAGUAGUUUAACUCACAAAAGGAUGCAUACAAGGUGUUUGUUGAAUUGGCUAAAAGAGUGAGUAUGUACUUAAUUGAAGUGAGUGAGUUCAUAUUAUCUUAGAUUUUGUUUUGUUAAAGUAAGAUGAUUUACAUUGGUAUAUGUGCCUAAAUUUUCAGAUUUUUGUGUUAUUCUUAUAUGCCAUUUUCAUGUUGAAAGUUUACGAAAAAGCAAGAAUAUUUACAAAUAAUUUUGAAUGUUUAUUUUAUUUUUAUGUCAUACCUUACAUUUAAGAAUUUAAGAAUAAGUAUGUUUGUAAGAUUUAAACUUGAAAAGUCACAAGAAGAAGUUUUAGAAAGAAAAUAUUUUUGGGAGUAUCCUUUAUUCAGAGAAGGGGUCAUCGUGCAGGCCGAGGGUCCUAACCAAGGCGUUGACUUCCUGAAACUAGUUGUGUCAAAGUAGGGAGCACACGAGCCAAGUGUCUCGUUGCUUAGAAAUUACUUAGCCAUGCUAAGCUAUGAUAUAUGAGCAGUGAUAACGUGAAGCGAGUGGCACCUCAUGGACUGGCCUAUUCGAUCAGGUUGGGAUCGAACUCGUGCCGAUCACAUAAUGACUGAGAUAGAAUCAAGUCAGGAUAGUUAGAACUCCCAAAAAAUAAAGAGAAGUAAUUAUUUUUUAAAAAGAGAAAGAAUUUCUUUUAUAAUAUCAUAAAUUGCUAUCAUGCUAUUAUUUAGAAUUAUGCUUAUAAGCUUUAUGUUUUACAUACAUUUAGAACAUUUGCUCGUAAUGUAUUUGUUAUUAAAGUUUUCCCCCUAUUGUUGAGACUCACUAAGUACAAUGGAUGAUACUGAAGUUCUCUUUUGGGAACCUGCGUUGAUCUGCAGUACAACGUUGGAACCGAAUUUGCAGGCGAGCAGGCUACGAGUUACCUUCUUUUCUAGUGCUAUUGGUAAGCUCCAUUUUUGUUCGUGGAGUAUUUCUUAGAGUCAUAUUUGUUUAGUUAUUUCUUUAUUACUUCGAGAACUAGUAAGAAAAUCUCAUGUCCUGAGCAGUGCGUCAGUUUAUCAGUAGAUACUUCAUAGACAUAGUCGUUGGGUUAAGAUUCAUAUAUUAUUUAUAAUAACUUAGUAGCAUUUUAUUGGUUACUAUGAAUAAAGUUUUAGAGUUGAUUUAUUUAAAUGUUUAAAUUAAUCAAAAGUAUUUUGUUAGAGUAUUGCCUUGUUGCAUGUAAAGUUUGGAGUUAUAAUAGAUUUUAUAAGCAGAUAUGGUUCGCUCGGUCAUGUUUAGUGAUCGAGUGCCGGUCUCGGCUUGUUCAGAAAAUAGGUUGUGACAAACUUGGUAUCAGAUCCUUAGGUUUAUAGAUUCAUAGGGGUCUAUGAAGCCGUGUUAGUAGAGUCUUGUUUAUGGUGUGAAGUGCGCCAUACUUACAAAUAGGAUGCUACAAGCAUUUAGGAAAAAUCUCAUUUUUUUCAUACAUUAGAUCGUGCAGUAGAUCCUACCUCUAUGAAAUUAUCUAAUGUAUUCAUUCCCCAAAAUUCGCAGAAAUGGCUGAUACCCGCAACUCUGACACCGACACAUAAGAUGUUGCUCAGGA